rnacentral:rRNA from 1 species
CUUCCUCCGGGCGGCCGCAGUCGCGCCUCAUUCCCCAUGGGGGCCCCCCUGCUGGUGCGCCGCCGCGUGGGGGAAUGAAGGUCUUCGGAUUGUAAACCCCUGUCAUGUGGGAGCAAAUUAAAAAGAUAGUACCACAAGAGGAAGAGACGGCUAACUCUGUGCCAGCAGCCGCGGUAAUACAGAGGUCUCAAGCGUUGUUCGGAAUCACUGGGCGUAAAGCGUGCGUAGGCUGUUUCGUAAGUCGUGUGUGAAAGGCGCGGGCUCAACCCGCGGACGGCACAUGAUACCGCGAGACUAG